rnacentral:lncRNA from 1 species
GGGUUCCAAAUACACAAACUAUGAACUAUGAGAUUCCCCUGCCCAGGAGCAGGGUGCAAUUUCUUUUUACUAGAUGAAUAAGAAAAUAAUAGGAUCUGCAACUCUUACUCAGGAAAAUGAAUAGCCAAGGGAGGAGGAGGAGUGAGAAUGUUCAUGCCCACAUCAAGAUUAAUUUUCUGCCUUCCAGUGGAUGCCAGCACCAGGUCACCUUGGGUGCGGAGUUGGCGGACACCCCCAAGUUCCCCUAGAGGAAUCUCCACGCGAUCUUUGGACCACCGGUGAGUGGAACACAACUUCUGUUCCAAUCCAAUUGUGUGGGACCUGAGACAGCAUUAGGGAAGCAGAAAAGCUGGCCUGACCAGGGUCACAAAUCGCUUCCGGUCAGUGCCAGGACCGGGUCACCUGGGCACUGAGUCAGGGGACACACCCAAGGUCUCUAGAAGACAGCUUCUGAGGCAGACCCCAUUUUAGGCUCCAGACAUCCGGGCACCUUCCCUGCCAGAGGAGAGGUGUCCGCCACACCCAUGAGGGCUUUGCCUGAGCACGUGGGGGUGCCUUCUUGGUUCCCAGAUCCCUCUGA